UACAGAGGUCCCGAGCGUUGUUCGGAUUCAUUGGGCGUAAAGGGUGCGUAGGCGGCGCGGUAGGUCGGGUGUGAAAUCUCGGAGCUUAACUCCGAAACUGCAUUCGAUACUGCCGUGCUUGAGGACUGGAGAGGAGACUGGAAUUUACGGUGUAGCGGUGAAAUGCGUAGAUAUCGUAAGGAAGACCAGUGGCGAAGGCGGGUCUCUGGACAGUUCCUGACGCUGAGGCACGAAGGCCAGGGGAGCAAACGGG
rnacentral:rRNA from 1 species